UAUCAGUGCGUCACAAGUAGGGUGUUAAAUGGUGGGUUGGGCUGGAAUUGGGAGGUUUAACAUGGGCUGAUCUAAUAAAUGGGCCAGUUAAUAACCCAUCCACAUUUACUUGAGCUAAAAUGUAGGCUGAAAUAGGUCAAAAACUGGAUCGGGUCAUGACUUCUUUAAUUUGACCCACUUAUAUGUAACUAGUCAUGUUGUCCCCUG
rnacentral:misc_RNA from 1 species